AACGCACAUUGCGCCCGCCAGCACUCUGGCGGGCAUGCCUGUCCGAGCGUCAUUUCUACCCUCGGGCCCCCCAGGGGGCCCGGUGAUGGGGUCCGGCCCAGGCCGCCCCCGAAAUGCAGUGGCGACCCCGCCGCGUCCUCCCCUGCGCAGUAGCACAACCUCGCACCGGAAGCGCGGAGGCGGUCACGCCCGUAAAACGCCCCAACUCAACGCAGUUGACCUCGGAUCAGGUAGGAGUACCCGCUGAACUUAA
rnacentral:misc_RNA from 1 species